UGUUAAUGCCCCGCCCACAGUUCGGGGCAUGGGAGGAGACUCCACUGUGUGGUCCCUGCACAGGACACCAAGGUCAGGCCCCAAAGCCUGGUUCCUGGUACCAGCACUGCUGGGGAGCCAAGCACUCAGGCUCAAUCCUCUCCUCUUGGCCUCAGUUUCCUAAUCUGUGCAAUGGCUGAGCAUCUGUGGAACCUGGUAUGUAAAAGGUCUCUGGGAACUGUAAAGAGCUGUAUCCACCUGAACAGCCGUGUGUGUGACAUGGAAAGGCCUAAGUUAGGGAGUCACCAUUUUAGAGAUCAUGGUCACCUAUAGCCAGCUGGCAGGAACGGAGUUGCCCUUAGCACACCAGACUGUGAGGAGUUGCUGAAUCUGCAUGUGUUUUCCUGGUCGUCAGUGUCAGGGAAGCACUGUCCCCUGCGGGGUCUGGUGUCUGAAGAAGCUCAGAGGGGUUUCUUCCCUCCCACUAGGUACAGAAGCUGAGCUGGAAUGUCACUCACACAGGCCCAGGGAUGUGACAGCAGAAAGGCUUGUCCCUGCUUACUGGGCACUGAGCUGGACUCGGACUGAGCCGGCGGAGAGGUGCUAGCUGGGUGCUGGGGAACAGACGCCAGCACUGGGCAGCUUCCUGGGCUGGAAAAGCAGUGGAGGCCUCCGCUCCUAUGGGACAAACCAGGGACUCCUGGGGCCCAGGACCCAGGAGGAAGAGCCCCCCAACACUAAGCAAAGGAGCUUUCUUUACACAUAACCUGGGUCUUUCCCAGGGGUGGAGGAGCUGGAGAAGGAAGCCGAAGGGUGCUGCCAGACGUGGAACCCGAGUUGUAUAGAAACACGAGACCAGACCCUGGAAUCCCACCAGGCCCAGGCAUGCCCCACUAGGCAGGCCACCCGGCAAGCAGCGGGGACAAGCCCUCAGGGGCACGUCAGCCUUUCUGCAGCUCGGUGUGGCAGCGCGGAGGACCCAUGCCACACACAGGGACUGCUGUUCCAACACGCUCCCUGGCUCUCUGGCCCACAGUGGCCCCGUGAAGGAGCCUUCGCCAACCAUGAGCUAAUUCCUCCGGCUGCUGGAGGAGCCAGGGCAGCGCAGCCAACACCUUGUCUCGGUAUGACCUAAUCUGUUCACCUGGAAAAGCAUCAAGUCCACUUCCUCAAUGGGCUCCCAGGGGCAAGGGAGGAUGCAGGCACUGACCCCUCCCCUCCUCCUUCCUUUCUCCCCAUGUGAUCCUGCCUGUUCCAGCCUCGCAUCCUCCCCUAGAACCCUUUCAUUUCUUCCCCAUAAGACACAGUCUUCCUAACUCCCGUCCCGGCAGUCCUGUCCUGCCCAACACCAGGCGCUGUCACAUCCCUGACUCGGCAAAAGCUUUCCUCCAGUCUGGAAAGCCCUUCCCUCCCUUCCAUGACUUAGUUCUCAGGGAUUUUCUCGUGGGGGAAGUUUUGCCUGAUUUGCCCGGGCUGGGCUGUGUGUACCCAGGACAACUGGAGCACAUCAGAGAAACAACUGUGUCAUUGCAACAUUAGCUAACGCUUUCUCACACCACAUCACAUGAGGGGUCAUGCUGAAAGCUUUACACGUAUUCACACAUUUAAUCCUCACAACAACCCUAUGAAUCUGGGGUAUCAUCAUCCCCAUUUUACAGAUGAUGAGACUGAGGCACAGACAGGUUCGGUACCUUGCCUGAGGCCACAGAGAUUGUAAGUGGUGAAGCUGGGAUUUGAACCUCUGCAGUCUGGCUCUGAGCUGCCCCUAACCACUGGGCUUACUGCCCCUCUUAAGUCACAGCACUUACACCCAGGGUCUUUGUUGAUGGUUGUCUCUACCAGACUUUCAACUUGAGGGCAAGAACCAAGCCUUUUAUGCUAGAACCCCCAGCACUGAGCACAGUGCUGCUCUCUUUAAAUGUGGUGCAAUGAAUGAGCCAAUAAAACAGAUUUCCUCCCACUCACAGCGACCCAUCCUUGCCCAAAUCUGAGCCAGCCUGGAUGGGCUGAGGGAGGCAGAAAAAGAGACCCAGGCUUCCUGGGAUGGUACCUCCCCUCCUGUCCCCAUGGGAUGCCAUCCACUCUGCCUGACCGGCCACAAGUGCCCAGACAUAGGUGUGCAGGCUCUAGGCCUGCAGUGGGACAAAGGCAGGCACAGCCACAGCUCAGGCCAAAUCCCAAGACUGUGUGCUGGAGUUGGCGGGGACAGCCUGGUGUGACCAAGCAUGAGGUCCUUUUUGGGGUACAGUGCAGGACGAGGCCAUUUUUAUCCAGCAGUCUUCCCCCCUCUUCUGGAAAUUCAUCCCUCAUCCCACGGGAGCCCAUCCCUGGGGUUCCCUUUCUCCUGGGUUGUGGGGAGACACAGGGUGAGGUUUUGGUGCCAGAACCACCCAGAGGCCAGCCUUGCUCUGAGCUGGCUGGGGCCACUGGGGCCACCAUGCUUACCACAUAUGGGAAAAGGGUCCACCGGGCAAGCAAAGCCAAGCAUGAGUGUGGCAGCCUGACCAUCAGAGCCCAGCGGAGGGGAGCUGGGGGUCCGCAGGUGGGGCCUGUGGGAAGCCACCCACCCUGCCCGGAUUACACAGCAGAAUUCCCCUACUACUUUGAGUGGGGUUUCGGACCUUCGUAUCUGACCCUCACAAGCAAGCAGUGGAGAAGAAAUAUGAAAGAGUACAGUGGGUGCUUGCUAAUGCUCGUCUUUUGUCGGACUGAUUGCCACGUGCAACCCCCCUUUUUUCCUGUGUGGAGGGAGCUCCCUCUUUUUUGCAGAAUAGCAGAGAGGUCGUGCAGCCUUCUCUGCAACCAGAGGACACGUCGUCCUCUUCCCUGGUUCAUGCCCUGGUGACCAGGACUCUGAAUGUGGUGCGUGUGAGGUGCAGAGGAAGGGAGGGUUAGGGCGCAUCUGUGAACCAGCCCUGGAGGCAGAUAUGAGUGCAGGGGCAGUGGCGUCCUCUUAGCCAAACUGUCUCUGCUGAAGGGCUGGCCUGGGACUUCCUGGCUCUGCCUUCUGGAUCUGCCCUGGUUCUGCCUGUCUUCUGGUCUUCACCUCCUGCUGAUUCUGUGGGCGCCUGACAGCCUUACAAUAAUAUCACUUCUUUUGCUCACAACCGAGAGCCCUAACUGAAAGGAGGCAGGAAGCACAACUCAUUCGGGGAGGAAAAUAUAUAACAGAGAACAAAGCAGUGUCAUCAAAUGUCAUGACAACCCAAAAGGCCCCUCCCCCACCAUUCCACUUGUCCCUUGGUGGGGGGCGGGGGGGGGAUGCGACCUCCCAUUGAGAACCACAGGGUGAAUGGUCACUGUCCUGCUAAUGAAAUCCUGCUGGGUCUGUCCACAUUCAGAGUUGAUUUGUCUCCUAACCUGCAAUCCCUGACAGGCUAUGCUUGAUGAGGACAGAAUGACAAUUUCCCAUAGGAGUGAAUUAACCCUUGCUCUGCUCCUCUGGCAGAAACAGCACCCACGGUUCCGUGUGCUAAAUGGAUACACGGUAGGUCAUGGGACCAGCCCAACUGGGCUACAGCAGGACAUCGGGGCAAACAACUGAAGUGCCACUGAGCCUGGCGAGCUGUGCUCUUUUGGGAGUGGCCAGGCUGUCUCAGGACUGUGAGAAGGGGAUUAGCAGAGGCACGCAGAGCAGAGGCGGCUGCCCAGAGGUGAGCCCGCUGCUGUGUCUGCCUCCUGCAGGCUGCCGCUUCCUCCACCUGCAGCUGCUUCCCUUCUCAUCACCAGCCUCCACCCCUCAAGGUUGCCUCAGGUCUGUUUCUGCGCUAACUCUAUUAAAAUCCCCAUUUUACAGGUGAGAAAAUGGAGAGCUUUUCUCAUGAAAUUGAAGCCCAAACUCCCAUGAACAGACGUGAUGGCCUGAGAUCCUGGCCCAGGAAAAGGGGUGCUUUAUUUAGCACCUACAAAUGCCGGGGGCGUUUGCAGACAUGUUCCCCAGCGUCAGCACGGGCAGAGCAAUGGUGAGUCACCUUAAAGAGUUCACCGAGCUGCACACGCAUCCAGCCUUCGUGUCCUUCGACUUCACACAGGAGAAAUCGGAGGCCUCGGAGGCUGGUGGGUUCUGGGAACACAGACCACGGGAGAGCUGGGGCGAUCUCCACCCUCUGUCCCCUUCAUCACAGCCGCGUGCUCCUGACCCCUCAGCCUGAGCCUGGGGAUGUGGACACUGUUCCCUUCUCCACAGAGCUCCCUCCUCCAGGCUUCUUCUCUGCCUUACUGCCAGUUAUCCUUCUAAAAUGCAACUCGGAUCCUACCCCUUCUUAAUAACUUUCCUACCAAAUAACUGUUAUUGAGAUGAGGUCUCGCUGUCACCCAGGCUGGAGUGCAAGUGGCACAAUCAUAGCUCACUGCAGCCUCAGACUCCUGGGGUCAAGUGAUCUCCUGCCUCAGCCUCCUGAGUAGCUGGGACUGCAGGCAUGUGCCAAGCUGCUAAUAUAUAUCAAACACUCAAUAUGCCAGGCACUAUAAGAAGAUAGCACCUCACUUAUUUGCAUGAGAAUGUUGUGAAGUAUGCACUCUGCCCCAUGAUACAGAUGAAACCAAGGCACAGAAAUGAUAAGUCUCAGGCCCAACGGCACUCAGACCGUACCUGGCAGGGCAAGGACUGAAACUAGCAGGGGCAUAGCUCCCUGUGGAGGUGGAGGGGAGAGCUGUGGCAGGAGCCAGGAAGGCUGAGCUGGGGACCAGGACCAGGUCACAGGCUCCGUGACCCUCUCCACAGUCUACUCAAAUAGAACUAAGCAAGAGUCCUCUGGGAAUCAAGUUGUCCGGAAGACGGCCAGCUCAGUGUUGGUUCUGUGCUGUCCUGUGAUGCUGGCCAUCCUCAGCAGAACCACCUUCACUGAGUUUCUGGAGCACACCUACACAGGGGCAUGUCUACACUGGAGCACGUCUACACUGGGACACAUCUACAUGGAAGCACAUCUACACAGGAGCAUAUCUCCACAGGAGCACGUCUACACUGGAGCAUGUCUACACUGGGGCACGUCUACACUGUGGCACAUCUCCAUGGGAGCAUGUCUACACUGGAGCAGGUCUACACUGGGGCACAUCUACACAGGAGCACGUCUCCACGGGAGCACGUCUACACUGGGGCACGUCUACAUGGGAGCACGUCUCCAUGGGAGCACGUCUACACUGGGGCAUGUCUACACUGGGGCACGUCUACAUGGGAGCACAUCUACACCGGAGCACGUCUAUACUGGAGCAUGUCUACACUGGAGCACGUCUACACGGGAGCACAUCUACACUGGAGCACGUCUACACUGGAGAACAUCUACAUGGGAGCAUGUCUACACUGGAGCACGUCUACAUUGGAGCACAUCUACAUUGGGGCACAUCUACACAGGAGCACAUCUACACCGGGGCACGUCUACAUAGGAGCACAUCUACACCGGAGCACGUCUAUACUGGAGCAUGUCUACACUGGAGCACGUCUACACGGGAGCACAUCUACACUGGAGCACGUCUACACUGGAGAACAUCUACAUGGGAGCAUGUCUACACUGGAGCACGUCUAAAUUGGAGCACAUCUACAUUGGAGCACAUCUACACUGGAGCACAUCUACACUGGAGCACAUCUACAUUGGGGCACAUCUACACUGGAGCACAUCUACACUGGAGCACAUCUACAUUGGGGCACAUCUACACGGGAGCACAUCUACACUGGAGAACAUCUACACGGGAGCAUGUCUACACUGGGGCACAUCUACACGGGAACAUGUCUACACUGGAGAACAUCUACACGGGAGCACGUCUACACUGGGGCACAUCUACACUGAAGCACGUCUACACUGGGGCACAUCUACACAGGAGCACGUCUACACGGGAGCACAUCUACACUGGAGCACGUCUACACUGGAGAACAUCUACAUGGGAGCAUGUCUACACUGGAGCACGUCUACAUUGGAGCACAUCUACAUUGGGGCACAUCUACAUUGGGGCACAUCUACACAGGGGCACAUCUACACUGGAGCACAUCUACAUUGAGGCACAUCUACACGGGAGCACAUCUACACUGGAGAACAUCUAUACGGAAGCAUGUCUACAUUGUAGCACAUCUACACGGGAGCAUGUCUACACUGGGGCACAUCUACACGGGAGCACGUCUACACUGAAGAACGUCUACACUGGAGCGUGUCUACAUGACAGCAUGUCUACAGGGGAGCACGUCUACGCGGGAGCACAUCUACAGUGCAAGGAAGGCUGAGUCUUCUCAUCCUAUUGUUCAGCAAGCGGAGGUGGCAGCCUACGUGACCAGCGUAAGGACCGGAGCUCUCCAGUGACAGGCCGGAGCCUAUUGCUCAUGCUCCUUGGGGUUGCUGUACCGUCUUCUAGGACCUACUAUGUGGACAGGACUGGCUCUCACCCAUGUGGAAAGCUUUCCAUCUGCAGGUUGACAAAUGGCUGCUGCACGGCAGAAGUUAACUGAAGCAUGCAGAACAGCACUUGACUGUCGGCUCGGGACUCAGGACCCUACUGCACACGCCGUACUGACUCAUCAGCAACCCCGCCAGACUGCAUGCUCCCUGAGGACACGGCCUUCGCCUCCUGCUUCCUUGGUAGGGUGGUGCAUUUGGAUCCUAAACUCCCUUGCAGAGAUAGUGGGAUGUUCUGUGUGGUCUCAUUGUGCCAGCUGCAACCUGGGUGUAUUCAAAUCAGUAACACCCACCCCUACCCCACUCGCUUCCACACCUCGAAGCAGAAAGUGUCUGCUCCAGAGACCGCAGGGGCAGGCCCUUCAGCGUCUUUAUCUCUGGUCAGCAAUGGGCAUUUGAUGAUUAGCAAGGUAAACAUUAGAAAUGCGUUCUCAUUGGUGAAGACAGAGGUAUUCAAGAUAUGUGGGUUGGCUAAAUGGAUUCAGAGACCCUCUUGACUCAGGAAAGAGCAGGUGAAAGAAUCCAUGAGAGCUCCAGGGAGGUGUGGUCAGGGCAGGAGAGAGCAGAUUGCUGGGCAUCCCUGAGGCCACAGGACAGCCUGUACAGACUCCACUGGGCCUAUAUACAGUAAAUAUUUGUCCAAAAAUGUGUACCCGUGUGGCAGAAUUUACUCUGAGGCUGCUUUCAUUCAAACUUGAUAAUGAGGCUGUCUUCACCUUCCUCCGAGUUUCCUGUGGCUGCUAUCACACAAACACAGCAGCUGCCGCAGGUUUUUGGUUAAACCUGGGAGGUGCCUGUGUGACCCAAGGGACUUAGUCAGUUCACGCCUGGCAUGGGACUUCCAGGGCAAAGUGUGUGGAGAGGAUCACAGGAUGAGGGAGGUAGUAAUACUUUCAACUUGAUGGUGGACAGUGGGGACUGGGUCCCUAAGGCAAGAACCUUCAUCCAGAACCUUCCUGGGUGGCCACUACCCAGCGCACGCUUAGGGUCCUUAGCUGCUCAGGGCUGCUGUGCCCACCCGGCUCGCUGAGGCUCGGCUGGCUUCCUGGAAUGAGGAAAUGCUGCCCAGCCUUUGGGAAGCCCUGGAGCUGCAGCCAGUGUGUAGGUCACUGUUUAGGCUCUUUCCGGACCUGCCACUCGACCUGGGAAAUGGGCUCUGCCCUGGGCCUGUCCCUCUAGAUCCCAAGGGACAAGCCCUGCAAGGGAGCACUUGGGCGUGCACUGCCAGCUUCCACCUUUCGAUUGAGAGGCCCUGGAAGGAAAUUCCGGCCACACUGAUGAAAUGGGGGCUUGGUCUCUGCCCCCAGCGGGGAAAAGGGGAACCCCCACUCCCUGCAAGUCUCUGCAAAGGCCGGUGAGGAGGAGGAUCACACUGAUGGGGGUGGGGGGGCCCAGGGACCCUUUGGAAAUUCCUCAGUGAAGGAAGGGGGAGGAGCAAGGCCACCCCUUACUAGAGAUGACAACUCAGGGGGAGCUACUGUGUGUGAGGCCACGUGGUAGGGCCCUGAUGUGGGGAGGAGCCUGACGCUAGAGAAGAGAGGCCCCCUUGAUGGCUGUGCCCACAGGGAGAUGGGGCCAUGGCUCAGCACGGUCCUUCUCUUGAGAGUGACUGAUGGAUGAGAUUUGAUGCUGUUUUGCAGAGCUGAGCAGGCAGGCAGUGCCCAGGUGGAAAGGCGGUGAUGUGGGAGCAACCUCCUCUCACUGCACUGCUCGCCUUCUCUCUCCAUGCUUGU